GAUGAACGCUGGCGGCGUGCUUAACACAUGCAAGUCGAACGAAGCAAUCAGACGGAAGUUUUCGGAUGGAAGACUGAUUGACUGAGUGGCGGCCGGGUGAGUAACGCGUGGGUAACCUGCCUCAUACAGGGGAAUAACAGUUAGAAAUGACUGCUAAUACCGCAUAAGCGCACAGUAUCGCAUGAUACAGUGUGAAAAACUCCGGUGGUAUGAGAUGGACCCGCGUCUGGUUAGCUAGUUGGUGAGGUAAUGGCUCACCAAGGCAACGAUAAGUAGCCGACCUGAGAGGGUGACCGGCCACAUUGGGACUGAGACACGGCACAAACUCCUACGGGAGGCAGCAGUGAGGAAUAUUGGUCAAUGGGCGGAAGCCUGAACCAGCCAAGUAGCGUGAAGGAUGACUGCCCUAUGGGUUGUAAACUUCUUUUAUAAGGGAAUAAAACGUCUUACGUGUAAGAUUGUGUAUGUACCUUAUGAAUAAGCAUCGGCUAACUCCGUGCCAGCCGCCGCAGUAAUAC
rnacentral:rRNA from 1 species